CGUUUGGUUUUGUUCAUUGCAUAAGAAGCCUAACAUUCAUAUCAAAGCUACAGUUAACAAGUUAAGUAUUAUAUCGUAAGUCAUUUAAUAUAUUAUGUACAUCGACACAUUAAUAUUUUUCUGCUCGUUUACAUGUUGAUGUUUUUUAUUAAGGAGUGCAAUGAAAACAUUAAAGAGUAGUUUGGAUGGUCAUAUUGAUAAAGUUGCAAUGCAGUGGGUUGAAAUAAAGGUUAGUCAUAUAAUGAAUGUUUAUUUCCGACUGCUGAUGUUUGUUAAGGUUGUAAUUGUCUUAUUCAAUCAUUUUUAUAUUGAAUAUAGAUUCACGUUCAAACCGGUGGGUAUGAGUGUGGCUAUUAUGUUAUGCAUUGGAUGUGGAACAUAGUAAGCGGGGGGUUGAUUGGAGCAUGGUAUAUUUACAUUUAAGAAAAAAUUAAUUGUUGACUAUCACUUUUUUUUCAUUUCACAUGUAGGUCACUAUUUUCUAUACUUUAAAUUUUGUAGUGGUUUGGUGAUAGCACGCCAUUAGACAUCGAGAGCAUGACAAAAAUUCGCAAGAAAUGGGCAACAUAUUUUUUAAAAGUUAAAAACAUCUAAUGUAAAUACCUUUAGAUAAGAUAGGAAGAACCACUGCGGUGCAUUCGAUGUUUAACGUACUUGUUAUAAACAAGUUUGUACAAUUAUUGACAAUUUUUUGAGAAUUAGUAUACAAAUUUCUUUAUUUCAUUUUCUCUGCAACAAAGCCCUUGGACAAUGCAUUGCUAUCGCAAUUGGUAGGUGCGUCAAUAGGAUCAGUUAUUUUUGUGCGACCAAACAGCCCAUUUUGCAGGUCAUUGUGUAGCUGAGGAUGUCCAUAGUGCCGAUGAUAGCUCAAUUGACAUCAAGAAAUAUGAGGUUCCACAACUACAUUCAUGUAUGUUCAUAUGAAGCUGCUAUUUAUAAUUUGUGUUUAUUACUAAUUUUUGAACUAAUUCAUACUAUAAAUUAUAUCUUAACAUGUCCUUGCUGCAUCAAAAUUACUUAUGUGCUGGAUGGAUGGAGCAUUGUCUAUGCGUUUCUAAGUUCAGCAAGUGCCUCGUUAUUGGAAAGAGGAUUCACAUUAAUGGAGUGGGAUAAGUCCCAUUUUGGUGCUUGUUGGUGUAGUGGUUGUGAUUAAUGGAGCAACCAAGGAAAUAGGAAAGGUAGCAGUAGUGGCAGUGACUAAGGCAUGUAGAAUAGAGGUAGCAGGAACGGUGGAUACUUGUCAUAUUGGGGAAAACAUUAGAAAGAUAUGUGGCACGGAAGAGCUCCUUCAAAUACCCAUCAUAAAUGACCUUACUAUGAUUUUGGGCUCCAUAUCUCAGGCAACAACAUUUGGCAUGAAGAGCAUAGUUUACGUGCCCUGAAUCAAAUUAGACACGGUAGCUGCACUAUCUGCAUUUUGCGACAAGGCCAACAUGGUGAUCACGGGGUGAGACAAAUAACAACAAUACAAUGUUUACUUGACAAUAUUUCUGUUCUCCUUUCUAUUUUAUGGUCUGUUUCGUUAUUUUCACACUUCAUAGUCCAUAUUUGAAUAGAAAAUGUUGUAAUUUUAAUUAGUCUAAAUUUGAAACUUGCUACUACGAGAUUGUUUUUUGCGUUUUGUGGCAUAUUAUUUAACUUUUAUGUGAGGGUGUCUUGGUUGCACCAAACCUUUCCAUCGGAUCAAUAUUAUUGCAACAACUUGCGAUUUUAGCUUCUUUCCAUUACAACAAUAUCGAAAUUGUGGAAUCUAGGGCCAAUGCAAAUGUAAGAUUUUUUUAUGUUUAGCUAUGGCCAUAAAGAUAGGCCAAAUGAGUGUGAGUAAGGGAAUU